CCACCAUCAUAUAUGUGGUCUACUGUUGACGCAAACUUCAUUUUGCAGCACAUGAUUGUAAAUGAUUGACAGAAAGAUCUUCAGCAAAAUAUUCCACCCAAGAUACGUGGGAGAUAUUGAGAUCCAAGCAAUAAGCCAUAUUUGAAAGGCAUUAUAGUUUUCAAAAGCUGUAGCGCAAUCAUUCUUAAGGCCAGUUACCUUCUCCCCACAUCUCUGGGAUCCUGUUUGAAGGGAGUUCUAACAAGGCCUGUGUUCGAGCAGCCCAGCAUCCCUUACUCCUGGAGCGGGGGGAGACUAACCCCUCUCCUGUGUCCACAACUGUAGUAACACAAUCCUCGGUUCUGCUCUCCAAACUUCAAAUAAGGGGUCAGAGCCAAGGGUCAAGACUUUAGGAAAAGCCCCGGAAAUACCCUGCACUCAAAAAGCAGUUUCAGAGUUUCACAUUUUCCUGAGAAUUAAACAAAUUAUCCUCCAAAUUCUGCUGCUUGUUUUGAAUUAUGGUUAUACUGGCAAUGUUAUCCAACCCUUGAGUUGUUUUUCUUUUCUUUUUUUUUUUUUCCUCGAGAGAGUGUCUUGCUCUGUCACCCAGGCUGGAAUGCAGUGGCAUGAUCUCGGCUCACUGCAACCUCCGCCUCCUGGGUUCAAGUGGUUUUCAUGCCUCAGUUUCCCAAGUAGCUGGGAUUACAGGUGUGAGCCACUGUGCCCGGCCCUGUUACCUUUGAGUUUUUAUCUCCACAUACUUAUAUUAAACCGUGUAGUUCUUCUUCCCAUCUGACAUCUACAAUCUCUUCACUGGGUCUGUACUCCAUAGCUAUUUUACCACUUUCUGAAAUAAAGUUAGCAAGGAUGAAUUCAGAAUCUUUUUCAUUCCAAAACUUCCUGCAUAUAAUGGUAGCAACCCACAAUGAGACAUUCUUUUAGUUUCUAAAAGCAGGAAAUAAGCAUUUUCCUGAAAGUUUCCUCAUCUCUUCAUCAUACACUUCGAUUUUUGUUUUUCUUUUUUCUUUUAGACAGGGUCUCACUCUGUCACCCAGGCUGGAGUACAGUGGCACUAUCAUAGCUCACUGUAGCCUGGAAUUCCUGGGCUCAAGUCAUCCUCCUGCUUCAGCCUCCAGAGUAGCAGGCACUAUAUCACUGUGCCCAUCUAAUUCUCUUUUUUAGAGACAUGGUCCCGCUUUGUUUUCCAGGCUGGUCUCGAACUCCUGGCUUGAAGUGAUCCUUCUGUCUUGGCCUCCCGAAAUGCUGAGAUUUCAAGCGCUCCUCCACCAAGCCAAGGCCAG
rnacentral:lncRNA from 10 species